ACCUUUAAUAAUGAACACAAAGCAGAAAUAUACCAGAAUAAGGUUUCACUGAACCUAAAUAGGGGAACCUUGUUGUUCUGUCACUAAAAAAGUUUAAUGAACAUCCUAAAGAGAGAAUGUUAUAUAUAUAUAACUCCUGUUUUAUAUUUAUUGUUAAUUAUUUUACACACUUUACAAAGCCAUUGAGAGCUUUUACAGAGAGAACCUGGGUUUGUGUGUUAAUAAUGUUUGCUGUAAAGCUAGUUUUUAUUCACAGUUGUGUAAUAUAAUGUUCAUUAUAAACAUAGCUGCCAUGAGAGGAAGUGACGUCACGGCCAAUCAGAAGCUGUUGCUGAGGCAGAACAGGACGUUCUGUGUGUGUGUAGGGGGUUAUCCCAGCAGUGAGGAGGGCUAAGCUAAUGUUAAUGCAGCUUACGGCUAAACACAAAGGCUUUCUGUCUCAUAUCGUUUACUAAGGAAGCUUUAAUACAGAUGAAGAGAUUCAACCCAGUACAGGUUUGUGUGUAAAAGCCCUGGGUCGCCCCCUGCUGGUCAGGUCACAGCAUUACACGCGGUGUAAAGUGAGUGGGUGGCACAGAAGGGGUCUAGUUCUUCUCCCGAACUUUAGCACCUCCACUCGCCCGCCAAAAACAGGCAUUUCAGUGCCCGUUGACCUGUCAAUCAUUAUGACGUCACAGACUGAAGCCCCUCCCCUCUUGUACCACCACCAGCUCCUCAGCAGCUUUAGAGUACUGUGUUGAACAUGAUCACCUUCCCUCAGGUGAGUCCUCUAUAACAUGACCAUCAAUAAUUACCCAGAAGCCAGUUCACCUAAAGGUAAGUGUUGUAUUAGUUAAUGAGAAAACCAGCUAGUUUACCCCUUAAUUCUUUAGUGAGCAAAUCGUUGUUUUAAACACCAUCACCGCCUCAUCACACCGUUCUCUCAUUCAAGGGAAGAUUUUUUGCCUUAAAUGGGAUGGAAAUUAACCAACAUGGAUGUGUUGAAAUCAGACAAUUUUUAAAAAAAAAAAAAAAAAAACAAUCUUUACAAGACAAUAAUGCAAAAUAAAAGUUUAGUUUUCAGUGAAGGGUUGUGUGUUUAUAGGCAGUGACACACACUGAGGGACUAAAGGGAUUGGGAGUGUGUAUGUAAGCCUUCAGUGCAGUUACAGUCUGUCUGAGGAGAGGGAGUUAACAAGGAGCUGUUAUAAUGUGUACUGCAAAUUCUGCAUUAAUUUCUUUCUGUGUGCGUGUGUGUGUGUGUGUGUCUCUCUCUCUCACACACACUAUCACACACGUACACACACACACACACACAGCUUUACUGUGUUAUAUCUGAGGGGAAGCUGAGUGUGUGAGUUAUUCAGAGACACAAUACAUUUAAUAGUCAAAAUUAAAAUAAACAUACAAGUUCUUUAUAAAUGAAUUAAACAACAACUUGAAGUUAACAGAUCAGAGUCAGGCUUGUGAUGACAAAGUUCCAUUUGUUUACAUGAAACAGCUUGAUUUUUCAUUCCAAAAUAAUCAAAGUGCCCAAAUCUCCUUCACGUGUACAGUGGAAUUAAUUCUCAUAGCUUUGUUCUGAUCCACAUGUGAAACAUUAGACUGUGGUUUAUUUGAUCACAUGAUGUGUUACACACACACACACACACACACACACACACACACACACACACACACACACA